CCUACGGGGGGCAGCAGUAAGGAAUAUUGGACAAUGGGCGCAAGCCUGAUCCAGCCAUGCCGCGUGCAGGAUGACGGCCCUAUGGGUUGUAAACUGCUUUUAUACGGGAAAAAACCCCUCUACGUGUAGAGGGCUGAUGGUACCGUAAGAAUAAGGAUCGGCUAACUCCGUGCCAGCAGCCGCGGUAAUACGGAGGAUCCGAGCGUUAUUCGGAUUUAUUGGGUCGAAGGGGUAUGUAUGAGUCUUUGGAGAAAUCCUGUAGCUGAACUGUAGAACUGCCAUUGAUACUGCAAGUCUUGAGUACAUAUGAUGUGGGCGGAAUGUGUAGUGUAGCGGUGAAAUGCUUAGAUAUUACACAGAACACCAAUUGCGAAGGCAGCUCACAAAACUGUAACUGACGCUGAGGCACGAAAGCGUGGGGAGUGAACAGGAUUAGAUACCCUGGUAGUC
rnacentral:rRNA from 1 species